GACGAACGCUGGCGGCGUGCUUAACACAUGCAAGUCGAACGGAAACGCCCUGCUUUUGUGGUGUGCUCGAGUGGCGAACGGGUGAGUAACACGUGAGUAACCUGCCCUUGACUUUGGGAUAACUUCAGGAAACUGGGGCUACUACCGGAUAGGAGCCCCUGUUCCAUGGUGGGGGUUGGAAAUUUUCGGCGGGUGGGGAUGGACUCGCGGCUUAUCAGCUUGUUGGUGGGGUAGUGGCUUACCCAGGCUUUGACGGGUAGCCGGCCUGAGAGGGUGACCGGCCACUUUGGGACUGAGAGACGGCCCAGACUCCUACGGGAGGCAGCAGGGGGGAAUAUUGCACAAUGGGCGGAAGCCUGAUGCAGCAACGCCGCGUGCGGGAUGACGGCCUUCGGGUUGUAAACCGCUUUCGCCUGUGACGAAGCGUGAGUGACGGUAAUGGGUAAAGAAGCACCGGCUAACUACGUG
rnacentral:rRNA from 1 species